rnacentral:misc_RNA from 1 species
AAAAAUAUCUUCUCCAUUGCCAUACAUUAUUGCAGAAAGUACCCUGACAAGAACAAAACAAAAAACAACAAUAAGCUACCAUAUAUCAAAAUAGCCUUUUGCCCAGAAGUNNNNNNNNNNNAAGCGAGUUGCCUCCAAGCCCAUAUUGCUGGUUUUGUGCAAAACCAGCGAUCUCCACACUCUUACUCUCGAAGAAACUCUUUGCAGCCCCACAAGUACAACACCUCCAGUCCUCAGGCAACUUGUCAAACGGCAAUCCUGGUGGAAUUGGGUAUGAGGGGUCGCCAACAGCCUCAUCAUAUUUGUACCCACAAGACCUGCACUCAUAGAUCCCAGUAUUCAAC